rnacentral:rRNA from 1 species
AUUGAACGCUGGCGGCAUGCCUUACACAUGCAAGUCGAACGAUAACGCGGGACAACCUGGCGACGAGUGGCGAACGGGUGAGUAAUGUAUCGGAACGUGCCCAGUUGUGGGGGAUAACUGCUCGAAAGAGCAGCUAAUACCGCAUACGACCUGAGGGUGAAAGCGGGGGAUCGCAAGACCUCGCGCAAUUGGAGCGGCCGAUAUCAGAUUAGGUAGUUGGUGGGGUAAAGGCUCACCAAGCCAACGAUCUGUAGCUGGUCUGAGAGGACGACCAGCCACACUGGGACUGAGACACGGCCCAGACUCCUACAGGAGGCAGCAGUGGGGAAGUUUGGACAAUGGACGCAAGUCUGAUCCAGCCAUGCCGCGUGCGGGAAGAAGGCCUUCGGGUUGUAAACCGCUUUUGUCAGGGAAGAAACGCUCUGGGUUAAUACCUCGGGGUAAUGACGGUACCUGAAGAAUAAGCACCGGCUAACUACGUGCCAGCCGCCGCCGUAAUAC